GUUGAUGUGAAAACAUGUUUAGUCAUCGGCAAUUUGAUUGUUCACGGCGGCGUUGCGUUGUUGUUUUCAAGUAAGCUAGCUCUCUUUCGCUUGAUUGUACAUAUCAUAUGAGUUGGGCUUGUUGCAUUGCAUUGUGCGUUUAUGUGAAAACAUGUCUAGUCAUCGGCAAUUUUAUUUAACUUUCUUUAUUCCUGUUAAUGGUUUCAUUCUCUAUCGUGACUGUGGCCCUCUAAUUAUAGAUCACCUUAAGCAUGAAGAUCGGAGUCGGCGAUGAAAUUAUUGUGGAGCUUAUGUGAAUGUGUAUUUUAUCAAUAGUUUCUAUCAUAUUACCAUUUCAUAGGUUACUUAUUGUCUGCUUUAUUGUUAGCAAGUCAUCUUCUUAAUUCUAGCUGCAGACUGCCAAGUCCAUCAUUGGCUAGGGGUAAUGGGCAUUUUUUGUUUUUCUUAUAAAGGUGGAACGAUUAGGGUAUAGGGAGUAACUCUGAGCCAGAUGGAGUGAUGCAGGGAGCUUGGUGUACUCAAAUGGUAUCGGCCCUUUUAGUCGGUGAACAGGCAAGUGUCUAAGAGAUGGAUUUGUGGAGUGUUAGUGACAAAACUAUCCUCAUAUGUAAUUCUAUGGUG
rnacentral:lncRNA from 1 species